rnacentral:sRNA from 1 species
UUCUAGUAUCACACAUUAUAUAUUUCCUCAUGUAGAAUCAUUAGUCUACCAAAAGAUGGCAGUUUUGUUCCUCACAAGUUUCUGUUGUAAUCUAAAAAUAAAUGAUUAUGGUAGCUUUUUUAUUACUGUACCUAACACUUUUUACCCUCUACUAGAAUACAAGGUUUUUAUAUAGAAGAACAAAAAAGAGUGUUGAAGUUUUAUGAAACUGACCAUCUUUUUUGUUAUUUUUUUAGGAAUUUGCCACUUUGUAAAAAACAGUCUUUCUGUUUUUGGCUUCUUCGAUUUAAUGUGAGCUGUUCUUAUUUUGUGUUCUUCAAAUGGCCGUGAAAUGUGAACCAGAAAAAGCUACCCCCUUCACUUUUUUUUUUUUUUUAAAGAAAUCUCAGCUUGUUGAAAGAGAUCCUUUCUUUCCAUAGGCAAAUUUGGCCAAAUUUAGCUCUUCUCCUGAAACAUGGACCUUUUUGCUCCAAAGUGAAGGGUUCUUUCAUAAGGAAAUCAAAGCACUUGGUAUUUUGAAUAAUGGUUUAUUCAAAAAGAACUUGAUUGACUCAGCAGAGUACCUCAAAUUCUUGUUUGUCUGCUUUUACCAUGUUAAACCUGAACAUAAAAUGCAAAUUAUUUGGUCUAGUUAUUUAACAUUUUGAAACAUUAAGUUAAAAGGAGCUAUUUGGAAACAAGUUAUUAUUUUUUCUUUUCUGUCAUGAUUGGGUGAAUAUAACUAGCUUGUAGAGUCUAGAUGUUAAUAAAACAAAUUCUUUGGGGAAAGAGGUGCGCCUCUCUGCUGUAAAUCAGUAAUUGUAAAAGAACUAGUGUUUAAGUAAAUGACUGCUACCUGACCUCUAUUAUUCUAGAAAACUGAAAAGGGUAUUUUUAUUCAGUAGGGAAACACUUAAAAGCUUCUAAAAUAUUUGAAAUUGUGCUUUAAAAAAAUGCACAGUUUAAUACAUAUCAGUUUAUAGGAAGGAAAGCUAUUCCCAGAAAUUCUCAAAACAGAAAUUAUACAGGAUUAGCAAUAUAGCAUUAUUGGCUCCCAAGGCUCUUGGUUACAGAAUUACCAUUGAAAAUUUUAUCAAAAGCAGCCUUGUCCCUGAUAGCUGCCGAAUCAUUUUUAAAAAGGGGGGGUGGAUGGGAAGAUGGGAGAGAAAGUAGAAAAGGAUGUGUGUUUAUUAAACCUCAACAUGGGAUCCAUUUAAACUUUUAUGUAUUUAUAUCUGAAUAUACAGAAUUAACACUAUAAAGAGCCUGCUAAGACUAGACUUCCAGGCUGAGCAUGGUGACUCACGCCUGUAGUCCCAGCAUUUUGGGAGGCUGUGGCAGGUGGAUAGCCUGAGUUCAGGAGUUUGAGACCAGCCUGGGCAACAUAGUGAAACCCCAUCUCUAUCAAAAAUACAAACAAUUAGCUGAGUGUGGUGGCACAUGCCUGUGGUCCCCACUACUUGGGAGGCUGGGGUGGGAGGAUCACUUGAACCUGGGAGGUGGAGGUUUCAGUGAGCUGAGAUUGCACCACUGUACUCCAACCUGGAUGACGGAGUGAGACCUCAUCUCCCCACCCCCCAAAAAAGAAAAGAUUUCCAAAUAUUAGGUACAUAUACUAAUAUUAUGAGAUUCUCAACAUAAGAAGACUUUUUCUGAAACAAUAAUAUAUUUUUGAAAAGUCACUUAGAGGACCAGAAACAAUUUUUAAAAGCUCUACCAAGAUUUAAUACAUGGUAUAAAUUUAUUGACUUUUGGGCAUUCAAAAAAGUAUUGAGAUUAAUUAUUAAAGUAGACUGUAUAGUACUGUAGAAAGAAUAGGGAGGAUCCAAGUUCAGUAGUUUUGUUUGUUUUUUGAGUCAGGGUCUUGCUAUGGUAUGAAGGCUGGCCUUGAACUUCUGGGCUCAUGCAGUCUUCCCAAGUUGCUGGAACUACAGGCGUGCGCCACUAUGCAUGCUCAGUAUUUUUUAGCUGUAUUUCUGACUUUUAUCAAAUCAUUCAAUCUGCUUUUCUAUCAAUAAUAGUAUAUAACACUAAAUACUUAAUACUUAAGGUUUAUUAAUUGUGUGGUAGGGAUUCUCAUCCCAAUUGCUUAUUAGAGAUUUUUAUCCCAGUUUGAUAGAUGAGGAAACCAGAGAGGUUAAGCAGUUUGCGCUGACACCACAGCUAGUAAGUGACAUUGCUGGAAUUCAGGCCUGGGUCUAUGUGACUCUAGAGCUUGUGAGUCUGUCCUGCCUCUAAUACAUGUAUUUGUGUAGCUUACCUUCAAAGGGAGGAUGUGAAGAUAAAUGAGAUAAUGGAUGGGAAUGUACUUUAAAUUUCACAUAGUUUGUAUUUUUCAAAGUAUUUAAAAUGAUGUGGUAUACUAAUGAGAAAUUUUAAUUUUCAAAGCUUCACUUAAAGGACAAGAAGCGAUUUGAAAAAGCUAACCAGGAUUCAGGUCCCGGUUUGAGUCUUGAAGAAUUUAUUGCUUUUGAGCAUCCUGAAGAAGUUGAUUAUAUGACGGAAUUUGUCAUUCAAGAAGCUUUAGAAGAACAUGACAAAAAUGGUGAUGGAUUUGUUAGUUUGGAAGAAUUUCUUGGUGAUUACAGGUGGGAUCCAAGUAAGUCACCUGGGAGAAUGUGAAAAGAGAAAAGGAAAGACUUUGAAAGACAGCCUUGCUCAUUGAAAGCUCUCUUCGACAGGAACUGUAACAGGAAAUGUAACGAGGAUCUGUGUCUGAUCCUACUUAUUUCGUUAACUGUAGUACAAGUUCAACAAAUGGAUUUAUAGCUUAUCUGAGAACGCUGUCUUGCUUACUUUUACUUCCAUGUGUAGAGUCAAACAUUUUUCUUUCUUUUCAAACAAAUCUAAUUUUAUUAUCAGUUUAAAUGGGGAAGGAAGUAAGGUAGAUAUUUUUAAACAAAAUCCUGUGCUGUUGCAGGUGGAUCUUAAAAGAGAUAGAAACAUAAAACACUACAAAUACUGGUGUAAACACAGUAUCAGAAGCUUAGUAGAAGGUGAAUAAGUGUUUGAAAUUAAGAGUUUGCUUUUAUGUAAGCAGCUGUUUUUUCAGAAUUGUUGCUUAAAGACACCAAACAAUGCAAUUUUUAAAUUGGUCACCAGUUUUACUUAUUCUGAUUGUCACUUUAAAAUUACACAUGGCUUUACUUUGUGAAAACAUGUAAGAAACUUUGUAUAGAAACAUGAUAUAUAGUAAAACAUUACCCACCUCACAUCUGGGAAAACUAGAUAUCAGAACAAAUAGCAGUUAACAAAAUUACUAGUUUAUGAAAACAUCCAAUGAUUUUAAAACUGGGUUAUUUAGACUUGUGUCACUUUUGAAAAUUACUAUAUAUUUGUACUUAUGUCAUGACUUUUCAAUUAAGUAGUUCUGUUUUAUUGGGUUUUCUUUAGUAAACUUUAAAUUCACUUCCUUUAUUCUAGGGAUAUACCAAACUUCUUAUUGGAUACAUGUGAUAUUCUUGUGUAUGUAUAUUUGUGUUUUUUUAUAUUAAGCUGCAAAUGAAGAUCCAGAAUGGAUACUUGUUGAGAAAGACAGAUUCGUGAAUGAUUAUGACAAAGAUAAUGAUGGCAGGCUUGAUCCCCAAGAGCUGUUACCUUGGGUAGUACCUAAUAAUCAGGGCAUUGCACAAGAGGAGGUAAGUGUUACAGAACAACUGUUUCUCUCCACCCCCUCCCCCCGAAUUUGGUGCUGUUGAUAGGAAAAGAAGUUCAAAAUCUUAAGCCAAAGAAAGAAGUAAUGGAGUUAUUUGGGAUUGAUGCAUUGCUAUGUUUUGAAUUUACGAACUGUUUUAGAUUGUCAGGGAGACAAGGAAGUUAAGAUUGUGUCAUGUAUUAAUUUGAGAGUACAGUGAAUAGAAUAAUAGUUUGUAUUUACCUAGAGGGACUCAAAGUAGGUUAUAGUAAUUUUUCAUUGCCUUGAUAUAUCCUGGAUUGGAUUUGAGUGGAGAGAGACAGAACCCAGCAGAAAUG